ACACAGCUGCCUGGUAGAUAACUGGAGGUGUUUGCUGAUGUGGCCCCAACCCUGCCUCCCUCCCAACCCUGUGAUGUUAGAAGAAACUUGUCAGAGCAAAUUGGGAGCAGCCAAGAAAAAGCUAAAAGAAUAUCAGCAGAGGAACAGCCCUGGUGUUCCGGCAGAUGAAAAAGAAAAAAACUGGCCGUAGCCCUGAGACAACCACUUCUGGUGGUUGCCACUCACCUGGGGAUAGCCGGAACCAAGAACUAGCAGUAGCCCUGGACUCAAGCUCCGCAACCAUCAAUCAACUCUAUGGAAACAGAAUCAUUGAAACAACAGAAGAAACAAGUGGAACAUCAGCUGGAAGAAGAAAAGAAAGCAAACAAUGACAUACACAAAGCACAGACGGAGCAGUUAGAGACAAUCAACAUCCUCACAUUGGAAAAGGCAGACUUGAAGACCACCCUUUACCAUACUAAACGUGCCGCCAGACACUUCGAAGGUGGGAAUCUGGAUCUGGCCGGCCGCCUGCAAUACUCCUUACAGCGUAUUCAAGAAUUGGAGCGGGCUCUCUCUGCUGUUUCUGCACAGCAGCGGGAAGAGGACAGGUCCUCGAGCCGCAGUGAAGCCGUCCUCCAGCGGCAGUUCCGGCAGACCUUAAAGGAGCGGGCGCUGCUGAACGCACACGUGACACAGGUGACAGAGUCACUUAAACAAGUCCAGCUAGAGAGAGAUGAAUAUGCUCAACAUAUAAAAGGAGAGAGGGCCCGGUGGCAGGAGAGGAUGAGGAAAAUGUCGAUGGAGGUGAGACCUGACCCUCCAGCCCCCACCUUAGAUGGGUCACUGGAUCUUUCUGGGCAUCUGUAAAAUGGGAAUGCUGAGCCCCCAUCCCCAGUGCCCCCAGCAGGGCCCUCUGAAGUGGAGCAGCUACAAGAUGAGGCCAAACACCUGAGGAAGGAGGUGGAGAGUUUGGUGGGAAAACUCCAAUCCCAGGUGGAAAACAAUCAGGCCUUGAGUCUCCGGAGCAAGGAGCAAAAGGAGAGGCUUCGGGAGCAGCAGGAGAGGCUGCAAAAGCAGGAGGAGAGGCUGUGAAAGGAGGAGGAGAAGCUGCGAAAGCAGGAGGAGAGGCUGUGGGAUCAGGAGGAGAGGCUGUGGGAGAAGGAGGAGAGGCUAUGAAAGCAGGAGGAGAGGCUGCAAAAGCAGGAGAAGAGAUGCACACUCUCCCAGAACCACAAGCUCGACAAACAGCUGGCCAAGCCACAGUGCGGCUUCAAGGAGCUGGUAGAACAUGAGAACAAGAGCACACUGCAGUUGGAGUAGCAAGUAAAGGAGCUGCAGGAGAAGCUGAGCAAGGAGCACCUAGAAGCUGCCAGCCAGUGGAACCAACAGCUAGAGACCCAGUUGAGCCUCAUGGCUCUCCCUGGACAAGGAGAUGGAGGAGGACAUCUGGACAGUGAGGAGGAGGGGGUGCCUCGGCCUAUGCCGAGUGUCCCAGAGGACCUGGAGAGCCGGGAAGCCACGAGUGGCUUUAUGGACCUCCGAAAGGAGAAGGUGGACAGGAUGGAGCAGGUGGAGAACCUAAAGCUUGGAUUCAUCCAGCUCUCUGGAGCAACAGACGGCAUGAGAGAGUACAUCACCAUAUAUGGGAGCCAAGGGGCAGUGCCAAACACGCGGCACCAGGAGAUGGAGGAUAUCAUCAGGCUGGACCAGAACGAGGAGGAGAUGAAGGUGAAUCUACUGGAGCUGCAGAAGCUGCUGUUGACACUUGUGGGUGACCAUGAGGGACAUGACAAAUUCCUCCCUGCUGCCCACAACCCUGCUGAUGAGCCUGCUCCAGGGGCCCCAGCCCCCCAGGAGAUUGGGGCUGCUGAGGAGCAGCCUGAUUUUUAUGAGGUGAGCGUGGUGGACAGCGUGGAGCCUGCACCAGGAGAGGCCAGGGAGGGUUCUCCCCGUGACAACCCCACCUCACAGAAGAUUGUGCAGCUGCUUCCUGUAACGCAGGACACCCAGGAGCACCCAGGCUUGGCCAGCAAACCCUGCAUGCCAUUCUUUUACUGGGCAGCUGAGAACAGAGAGAUAAACAUCAUCAUCACCUAAGAGCUGGUCAAGAAAUUGAAAAAACAGCAACCAAAAGUUAUGGGGUUAAUCUCCUACACAAUUCAUUUACUUCAUUUGAAUGUUAGAGCUCCUCAUGUUUAUUUAUGUUUCUAAUUUACAGUUUAAAUUUAUUUGUAGAAAGUUAAGGGAGAGUGGGUCUUUCCCUGAUGUUCACUCUGGCAUCCUUCAACAUUUUUGUUUUUAAUUUGAUAAUUGUAGGUCAUUAGCUCGCAUAUCGAGUUUGCCUUUACAUGGUAGGAGUUCAAACACACAAAGACCCACUAUUUGCACAAAACUAUUCUUGCUGGUUUGGAAUAGGCUGCCAUGCUUUUUAAAUGUUAUUGCAGCAUGUAUACUCAUUACAGAAUUCAGAUAAAAUUUGCUUAUGUUCUGCUAUUAUGUUUGAUCGAUUCCUAAUCACAGUGAGCUCUUCAUUAGCUCAAUACGUGGUUUGCCCUCAAGUGCACACUGUUUCUUACUUUGUAAUAUGCCACUGUGAGUACUGACAUUUAGAGUUGUUUAAAGGCCGAGAACUGGAAACAGAUUUUCCCCUAUUUUCUGUGUAUUGGGGAUGGGAGUAAUAACAUUUUGGGGAGCUUUUUAAAUCUCACAGAAGAGGAAAGUGGCCUGCUCUGGCAGGUGUGUGCAGGAUAGAGUGUGAUUCAUUUGUUCUGGUGCCAGGAAUGAGCGCGGUUCUAUGGUAGUUCCCUUAGGAUUUGUACGUGCUCUGGGCUCAUGAAGAUAUCGCAGCAUGAGCUGCAGCGGUUGGACUCUUUCUCAAUGACCUAAAAGGGAUUAUUUCUGAGGAAUGAAAGGCUCCCGCCAUUGACUGUGGAUGUGGAAAAUCUUUUCUAGCUUAGAGCAUUUAUAUCUACAAUACAUUUUAAAGUCAGAGUUCAUGUUACCUGUUUUAAUCACAUGACUACAUGUCCCAGUACACAAAAGGGCACUGCUUGGCAUUCUUCUUAGUGUAUUUAGUGACGAUCAUAAGAAACACUUUCAGAGUUUAAAUGUCCCUGGAACAGGCAUACAGGCUCUAGUCAAGAAUGAAUUCGAGUGAAGGAAAGCUGUGUGACACCUGGCAUUCCUCUAUGUUCACGGAGCUUCUUUGAGGCUAGAAGACUGAUUUUACCAUCUAGACCUCUCUGGCUAAUACCUAUUCUUCAGCCACAUUGGUUAAUCUGACAUAGGAAUUACUUCUUUUCCUUGAAUGGAAAACACUUUAAAAAUAAUAACAACCAUUUUAAUAAAGUAAUACAUGUGAGAGUAUUUGUUGAAACAAAAAGCAGUUUUAGUGGACAGUGUUAUACUACAUUUGAAAAUCAAGAAGUUUAUGCAACUUAAAAUAUUUACAAACUGCAAUGCAAUCCACUGUUUGUGAAUGUCAAAGUAUUAUGAGUAAAAGUAUCUACACAAUCACAGAAUUAUAUUUCCUCACAAAGUUCUUUAUGAAGAGUGAAAUAUGUUUUUGUACCUCUUGGUUUCAGUUAGAGGCAUAUUUUGUGCCGUAUUUAUGUGCCUAUACAGGAUGAAUGAAUUAUUUCAGUCAUACAUUGCCUAAAUUGUAACUUUAUGAUGCUUGGGAAAGAAUCAACAGCUAAAACUUCAUGAAGUUCUAAUGUCUAUGUUCGAAAAUAUGUCACAUUAUUAGGAUGUAGGGAGAGAUGUGUGUGCACUCCCUGGGAUGGGCAUUUCUAGUCACUAGAUCAUCUCCAUUUUCAGCAUUUGACAUCCUCAUGAUACUUUUAUAAAUAUGACAUUAAUAGGAGAGCAAUAAUAUGAUUUUACAGAUGGAAUAACAGAUUUGCCUGCAUUCACUGAAAGAGUGCAAAUAUUGGGUCCUUGUGACUUCAACUGACUCUUCCAAAUUGUAUGAAUUUAUCAAUGUAUUAGAUAAACCCAGUUUCAGAAUGAUAAAGAAAAACUGUUAGACCAAAUAAUGUGGCUAAUUAACAGUGGUACAAUUUCUAGCCUAUUUAAAAUGGACUUAAGGUCCUGUUCUUGCCUUCUAUUUUGUGAACUUGCCGCUUUUGCAUUAUUUGAGUUCACUUGAAAGACUGUUACUUUAAGUCCAUUUUAAACCCUCGGGCUAGAAAUCUUACCACUGUUAAUUAGCCACCUUCUUUGGUCUAACAGUUUUUCUUUAUCAUUCUGAAACUGGGCUUACCUAAUACAUUGAAAAAUUAUUUCAAGGAAUUUUCAUAGUUCAAAUCACUUCACUUUUGCCUUGAUAAAUAUAAAUGACUAGGAAUGUCCUUCAGAUCACGUUUAGCAUCUGUAACCAAUCUGACAAUAAUGUGCUCAUCAGGUACCUAUGGGUGAAAUCACACACUGGCAUGUUGAAGCUGGAUGUCAGUCUGGAAAAGAAAUGUACUGUAUUAACCAAAAUACCACUCUUUGUGUAGAUAUUUUGUCCUAUGUUUCCGAAAAAGCUAGAAAGAAUGGAAAUCCUAUGAUAAUAACUUAAGUCUUCAAAGUGCAUACAGUCUCUUGCGAUACCUCAUUCAGCCAAGUAUUUAUUCUCUUUCUUAUUCAGUAUAAGACAGCUUUCAAUUUGCUUAGAAGGCAACAUUAGAAGGUUAGAGUUCAUCAGAAAUAUAGAAUUUUAAAAUGUGAGUUCAACUGAAUAAAUAUGAAUUUCUGUAGGAACUAAGGAAUCAAAAUACAUAUUUAAAGAUUGCAAUAUAUGGUCAUUAUUUUUAGAGUAUCUGAUUAAACCUGAUAGGUUUUCCAGAAAUGAAAAAAAUCAGCUCUAAAACCAAAGCAGAUUUUUAGAAAAAUGUGAAAAUGUAACUCAGCCCUAUCCAUAAUACUUUCUCUAAACCUUUAUCUUACAGAGUCACUUUAAAAUAAUAUAACUAUUGAAAAAUAUAACUGCUAUGUUAAUGUUGUGAAAUAAGUUAAAACAUCUUAAAAUAUGAAUACUGUAGUUUAAAACAAAGAAACUGGGGGAAGGAAAAGUAGAGAAAGAGAUGUCAAUUCCAGUCCACAGCUUUAUUUGCCAAGUUUUCUUAAAAUGACUUUUACCAAUUUACGAAUUCCUGUCAACAGAAUGUAUAAUGGAAAUACUGAAAGACUGUUGUCUAAAGUGCCAUUAUUGACUGCUACUGUGAUGCUACUGUAAUGUAAUAAAUUAGGAAAUUGUUGCAAAA